CUUUUCCUUUUUUUUUGUGUGUUGUU
rnacentral:sRNA from 1 species